rnacentral:rRNA from 1 species
GAUGAACGCUAGCGGCAGGCUUAAUACAUGCAAGUUGAGGGGCAGCAUGAUAUACGCGAGUAUAUUGAUGGCGACCGGCGGACGGGUGAGUAAUAGGUAGGAGACCUACCUCAUACAGGGGGAUAGCAUAGAGAAAUCUGUGGUAAUACCCCAUGAGGUUAUAUGAAUAGAGGCAUAUAAUCAAAGCAUAAGCGAUUAUGCGGUAUGAGAGGGGCCUACUGACCAUUAGCUAGUUGGUGAGGUAAGGGCUCACCAAGGCGAAGAUGGUUAGGGGUUUUGAGAGAGAGACCCCCCACAUUGGAACUGAGAGACGGUCCAGACUCCUACGGGAGGCAGCAGUAGGGAAUAUUGGGCAAUGGGCGAAAGCCUGACCCAGCCAUGCCGCGUGAAGGAAGACGGCCUUAUGGGUUGUAAACUUCUUUACUACGCGAAUAGAGGUUAGUACGAGAUACUAAUAGGAAGGUAGUGUAGUAAAAGCACCGGCUAACUCCGUG